GCUAUUGCUUAUGGGUGGAGAGCAGAAGACAACUGCUAGGAGUCAGUUCUUUCCUUCCACUGUGUAGGUCCUUUUGAUCAUCAAACUUGGUAGCAGUUUCCUUUACCUACCAAAUCAUCUAACAGGCCCUAAAAGACCAUUCUUAAUCCUAAAAGCCAUUGGAGACAGGAGGCAAGAUGGAGGUGGUAGAGACACUUUCAGAUGCUAAAAGAGAAGGUGAAGGCAACAGGAAUGAUGUGCACUUUUCUGCCCUGCAGGAUCUUCCACUGGGUAUCAGAUGUAUGCUAACGAAGCUGGAAGACCAUGAUAACACAAACCUUCUACAGCCCAUUUGCUGCGAGACUCCUUCAGGGAAACAGAGGACCUGCAGAGUAGUAACCCACACAUUUUGAGGGAUGAAUGAUGGACAGGUAGCACCGGGGCAGGAGCUCUCCAGCUGUCAGGGAGUACUAAGUGAGGAGCAACCUACUUUCAGGGAGGAUCAUGUGAAGAGCAACCUGUUGUUAUUGAGCACCGUGAGAGGAAGAUCCAGGAGGUCAGUGCAAGAGUCAAUGAGCACUCUACAGAGCACUGCAGCUAUCAGUGAGAACUGUGUGAGGAGCCUGGACAUCACUGAUGCAACAUUCAGAGAACACUGCCGCCUGUCGAGCACCCCUGCAGUCAGUGAGCACCCUCUGUGGAGCACAAUUCUCUCAAUCCUGCUGACAGGAAGGUAUUACAAUUUUGCUGGCAUCAGUGACCUGGCAUCUUGGAAUUAUCCCCUGCUUCAGUUUACAGAGGAAUAAACCGGUAAUUAAUUAUAUAUCAGAACAUGAGAAUCGACCCAGCAAUAAUGUACAGGCUAAGAGCGCUCUAUUUACAUAUGUUGGUUAUUUAAAAUAUGUCUUGUUAAAUAAAUAUUUAAAAUAUCUCCUUAUUUAGAUUAUA
rnacentral:lncRNA from 1 species